AUGGGUUCCCUCACAGGUUCUUCUUGGGUGAUGAGCUUGUGUGGGAGCCCAAUAUGCUCCGACCAAGAUGUGGCCUCAUGUGCGUUCAAGGAGAUAUUCAACGCCUAUACCUGCCUGAAUCAUCUAGUGGCGACCGGCAUCGCCGUGCUGCUCGUGUUGGUGCUCGCGCUCCAGCUGCUUGUGAAAAUUCCCAAGAGCAGAGCGUCUGCGCGGCAGCUCGUCACGCUCAGCUCACCGCUGCACUUGUCUGCUGUGGUGUUCAGUGGCACCUUGGGUUUGGUUUAUCUUGGGCUUGGAUUGUGGAUGCUGGGGAGUGGCUUCAAUCAGGAUGCUUCUGCUUACCUUCCACACUGGUGGCUUGUGACAGUAUCUCAGGGACUGAAUUUGAUCCUCACCAGCUUUGCUUUCAGCAUCAGGCCUCGGUUUCUUGGGCCGGCAUUUGUCCGAUUUUGGCCGGUCUUGCUGACCGUCUACGCGGCAUUCGUCUGUUCUUCUUCUGUCGUUGAUAUUGUUGCAGAGAAGGCGCUGACUGUUAAGGCCUGUGAUGUCCUGUCCCUACCAGGUGCAGUUCUCAUGCUUAUUUAUGGCAUUCGGCAUAGCCAUGAUGAAGAGGGUCAUGGAGGAAGUGGCAAUGGUUUAUACAAGCCCCUGAACACGGAGACAGACAGUGAGGUAGCUGAUUCUGACAGUCUGGUAACACCCUUUGCUAAAGCUGGUUUUUUCAGCAGGAUGUCGUUUUGGUGGUUGAAUCCUCUGAUGAAGAUGGGCUAUGAUAAGCCCCUUGAGGACAAAGACAUGCCGCUUUUAGGCGCCACAGAUCGAGCACAGAACCAGUACUUGAUGUUCAUGGAGAAGCUGAACCGCGAAAAGCAGUCGCCAUCGCAGGCCACACCAUCAUUCUUCUGGACUAUUGUUUCUUGUCACAAGCGUGCCAUCUUGGUCUCAGGUUUCUGUGCUUUGCUUAAAGUUCUCACCUUGUCUACUGGCCCAGUGCUUCUCAAGGCAUUCAUCAAUGUAUCACUUGGGAAAGGGUCCUUUAAAUACGAAGGCUUUGUGCUUGCUGCGGUAAUGUUCGUCUGCAAAUUCUGUGAAUCGUUGUCACAGAGACAGUGGUAUUUCCGCACUCGGAGAUUAGGAUUGCAGGUGAGGUCAUUUCUGUCAGCAGCUAUUUAUAAGAAACAGCAGAAGCUAUCAAAUGCAGCAAAAAUGAAGCACUCUUCUGGAGAAAUUAUGAACUAUGUGACUGUCGAUGCCUACCGGAUUGGGGAAUUUCCGUACUGGUUCCAUCAAACAUGGACAACAAGUGUUCAACUUUGCAUUGCUCUGGCAAUUCUGUACAAUGCGGUCGGCGCUGCAAUGCUUUCAUCAUUAGUUGUAAUCAUCAUCACAGUACUUUGCAACGCGCCAUUGGCCAAACUGCAACACAAAUACCAGAGUAAGCUUAUGGAAGCACAAGAUGUGAGACUGAAGGCCAUGACCGAGUCAUUAGUUCAUAUGAAGGUCUUGAAACUUUAUGCAUGGGAGGCUCACUUCAAGAAGGUCAUUGAGGGGUUGAGAGAGGUUGAGUACAAGUGGUUGACAGCAUUCCAGCUUAGGAGAGCAUACAACAGUUUCCUGUUCUGGUCAUCACCUGUUCUGGUUUCGGCAGCGACCUUUCUAACAUGCUAUCUUCUGAAAAUUCCUCUUGAUGCUAGCAAUGUCUUCACCUUCGUGGCAACUCUGUGUCUCGUGCAAGACCCAAUCAGGCAAAUACCGGAUGUUAUUGGCGUCGUGAUACAAGCUAAGGUCGCGUUCACUCGGAUAUCGAAGUUCCUUGAUGCUCCUGAGCUAAACGGGCAAGCUAGAAAGAAAUAUUGUGUUGGCAUUGAUUACCCUAUAGCGAUGAAUUCGUGCAGUUUUUCAUGGGAGGAGAAUCCAUCAAAAUCAACUCUGAAGAAUAUAAAUCUGGCAGUCAAAGUUGGAGAAAAGGUUGCCAUUUGUGGAGAGGUAGGAUCAGGGAAGUCCACGCUUUUGGCUGCUGUACUCGGGGAGGUCCCCAAGACUGAAGGCACGGUAUGUUUUUACGAAUUUUAUCUUUUAAUGAAACUAGCUAAUACUUGUGGGCUGCUAUGGAAAUUAAUCGCUGGUGCAUUGCUAAAUUUUUUAUUUUUAUUGCAUGAUUAUUUAAACACUUGGGUCGUUGUAAUUUUUAGUUUUUUCAACUGA
rnacentral:rRNA from 1 species